rnacentral:rRNA from 1 species
AUUGAACGCUGGCGGCAGGCCUAACACAUGCAAGUCGAACGAGUGGCGGACGGGUGAGUAGUGUCGGGGAAACUGCCCGAUGGAGGGAGAUAACUACUGGAAACGGUCGCUAAUACCGCAUACCCUCGUAUGUGCCCAGAUGGGAUUAGCUAGUCGGUGGGGUAACGGCUCACCUAGGCGACGAUCCCUAGCUGGGCUGAGAGGAUGACCAGCCACACUGGAACUGAGACACGGUCCAGACUCCUACGGGAGGCAGCAGUGGGGAAUAUUGCACAAUGGGCGCAAGCCUGAUGCAGCCAUGCCGCGUGUAUGAAGAAGGCCUUAGGGUUGUAAAGUACUUUCAGUGAGGAGGCGUUACCGGCAGAAGAAGCACCGGCUAACUCCGUGCCAGCAGCCGCGGUAAUAC